UACGUAGGGUGCGAGCGUUGUCCGGAAUCAUUGGGCGUAAAGAGCGUGUAGGCGGCUUGUUAAGUCUUGCGUGAAAUCUCGGGGCUCAACCCCGAGCGGUCGUGAGAAACUGGCAGGCUAGAGUGCGGGAGAGGAGAGUGGAAUUCCGAGUGUAGAGGUGAAAUUCGUAAAUAUUCGGAAGAACACCAGUGGCGAAGGCGGCUCACUGGCCCGUUACCGACGCUCAGGCGCGACAGCGUGGGGAGCAAACAGGG
rnacentral:rRNA from 1 species